UUCAUACUCUCAGACCUGAUGAUAUCUCAGCUGUUUAUGUCUUGGGAAUCCCACCCUCAGACAGGUAGAAAAUAAAAUGCAUAUAAUAGGCAUACUUAAACUGUAAAAAGUGAAAGUGAAGUGCAGUGGCUUACUGAGCUGCUUUAAACAACCCUGACUCACUCUAACUGGGUGUCUUUCUUCAUCAUUAGGGAUGAAGCAUCCAGAGUGGUCAAUAGAGUAACUGGUAAGUCUAUAAACUCUCACCCACACUGAGUUUUUCUACAAUCAAGUAGAAAGAGAAAAGUAUAUAAUCCUCUAAAAUAACGUAACAUAAUUCCUACUUUAUUUGUAACCUAAAUUCAUGUUUUCUCACUUUAUCAGUAUGAACGCUUUUAGUAUGCUGAAAUGGGAUUUUUAUUUUAGUUUUCCAUGUAUGUUCUUAGGCGUAACCCCUAUGAUGAUUUUGUUAUAGUCACACAAUAAUCUUGCUCUGUCAGUUAUUAACUAUGAAUGGAUUGAAGUUAAAAACAGCCACAUUUCACACUACUGUGGGAUUAUCUAACCAUGUAGUUGAAAAUAUUACAAUCUGCAGAGAGGUCGUAGUCAAGACCAUGUCACAGGAACUGCUGGAUACAGAGCACAAAAGCUCUUAGAACAAUAAUCUUACAGUUUAGUCACGUUUAUCUCUAAGGAUAAGAGAGAGGACCAUAAACACAGGUUGUUGACCUUCAUUUCACAUAACUGGCAACGUGAAUGGAUGCUUUCACUAGCUUCCUUUUCACAAUAGCAGUUGCCACAGAAUGUACAUAAUCCACUGUCUGGCUGUACUGUAAGGAAUUAUACAUACUGUAGAUUACACACGUGUCACAACAUUUCUGUUUGUGUUUAAUAGAGUUCCUGUCCAUGUUUAACCCAGAAGUGAUCUAUCAACAUGUGGCUCAGACCUCAUUACAGCCAAGAAGCUUGCUGGAGCAAGCUGAGGAACUGUCUCUCUCCCUUUUACACCAGGUACACAUUAACCCUCUUUUAAAAAUUAACAAACAAAGUUUUAUGUGCUUUAAACAUAUCAUUAUUUUGAUGAAGAGAGUUUUUACUGAAUAUAAUAAGAAAUAA
rnacentral:lncRNA from 15 species